AGCGUCUAGUUAGCAAUUAUACCGCGAAACUGCGAAUGGCUCAUUAUAUAAGUUAUCGUUUAUUUGAUAAUACUUUACUACUUGGAUAACCGUGGUAAUUCUAGAGCUAAUACAUGCUGAAAAUCCCGACUUCGGAAGGGAUGUAUUUAUUAGAUUAAAAACCAAUGCCCCUCGGGGCUCUCUGGUGAAUCAUGAUAACUAGUCGAAUCGACAGGCCUUGUGCCGGCGAUGGCUCAUUCAAAUUUCUUCCCUAUCAACUUUCGAUGUUUGGGUAUUGGCCAAACAUGGUGGCAACGGGUAACGGAGGGUUAGGGCUCGACCCCGGAGAAGGAGCCUGAGAAACGGCUACUACAUCCAAGGAAGGCAGCAGGCGCGCAAAUUACCCAAUCCCGACACGGGGAGGUAGUGACAAUAAAUACUGAUACAGGGCUCUUUUGGGUCUUGUAAUCGGAAUGAGUACAAUUUAAAUCCCUUAACGAGGAACAAUUGGAGGGCAAGUCUGGUGCCAGCAGCCGCGGUAAUUCCAGCUCCAAUAGCGUAUAUUAAAGUUGUUGUGGUUAAAAAGCUCGUAGUUGAACCUUGGGCCUGGCUGGCCGGUCCGCCUCACCGCGUGCACUGGUCCGGCCGGGCCUUUCCCUCUGCGGAACCCCAUGCCCUUCACUGGGUGUGGCGGGGAAACAGGACUUUUACUUUGAAAAAAUUAGAGUGCUCAAGGCAGGCCUAUGCUCGAAUACAUUAGCAUGGAAUAAUAGAAUAGGACGUGUGGUUCUAUUUUGUUGGUUUCUAGGACCGCCGUAAUGAUUAAUAGGGACAGUCGGGGGCAUCAGUAUUCAAUUGUCAGAGGUGAAAUUCUUGGAUUUAUUGAAGACUAACUACUGCGAAAGCAUUUGCCAAGGAUGUUUUCAUUAAUCAGGAACGAAAGUUAGGGGAUCGAAGACGAUCAGAUACCGUCGUAGUCUUAACCAUAAACUAUGCCGACUAGGGAUCGGACGAUGUUACAUUUUUGACGCGUUCGGCACCUUACGAGAAAUCAAAGUGCUGGCUCCAGGGGAGA
rnacentral:rRNA from 1 species